UGGGGAAUCUUGCACAAUGGAGGAAACUCUGAUGCAGCGACGCCGCGUGAGCGAUGAAGCCCUUCGGGGUGUAAAGCUCUUUCGACGGGAACGAUAAUGACGGUACCCGGAGAAGAAGCUGCGGCUAACUACGUGCCAGCAGCCGCGGUAAUACGUAGGCAGCGAGCGUUGUUCGGAAUUACUGGGCGUAAAGAGUGUGUAGGCGGUGUUCCCAGUCUGUUGUGAAAUCUCCCGGCUUAACUGGGAGGGUGCAGCGGAAACUAGAAUGCUAGAGGGUGGGAGAGGUAAGCGGAAUUCCUGGUGUAGCGGUGAAAUGCGUAGAUAUCAGGAGGAACACCUGUGGUGUAGACAGCUUACUGGACCACUUCUGACGCUGAGACACGAAAGCGUGGGUAGCAAACAGGAUUAGAUACCCUGGUAGUCCACGCCCUAAACGAUGCAUACUUGGUGUGAGCGAUUCAUUUCGUUCGUGCCGGAGCUAACGCGUUAAGUAUGCCGCCUGGGGAGUACGGUCGCAAGGCUG
rnacentral:rRNA from 1 species